GCACUGCUGACGCGUCCGAAACAGGACGAAACAGCUGUCCAGUGC
rfam:Echinostoma caproni strain Egypt genome assembly, scaffold: ECPE_scaffold0001891